rnacentral:rRNA from 1 species
AUGAGAGGCCCGAGGAGGGUGGCGGCCAUCCUGGCCAUCGUCCUGGCGGCGGCGCUCGCUACGGCGGCCCGCGCCCAGCAGUGUGGCUCGCAGGCCGGCGGCGCGACGUGCCCGAACUGCCUCUGCUGCAGCCGCUUCGGUUACUGUGGCAGCACCUCCGACUACUGCGGUGCCGGCUGCCAGAGCCAGUGCAGCGGCUGCGGCCCCACUCCUCCUGGACCCAGCCCCGGCGGGGGCGUGUCGUCCAUCAUCUCUCAGGACAUCUUCCAGCAGUUCCUGCUCCACAGCAACCAGUGCACAGAUGCCGGCGGGUUCUACACGUACGACGCAUUCCUGGCCGCGGCCGCCGCGUUCCCGGCCUUCGGCACCACGGGGAGCACCGAGACGCGGAAGCAGGAGGUGGCAGCCUUCUUCGGGCAGACCUCCCACGAGACCACCGGCGGGUGGGCCACCGCACCCGACGGCCCCUACUCCUGGGGAUAUUGCUACAAGCGGGAGCUGGGCUCACCGCCCGACUACUGCCAGCCAUCGUCGGAGUGGCCGUGCGCACAAGGAAGGCAGUACUACGGCCGCGGCCCCAUCAUGCUCUCCGGGAACUACAACUACGGCCCCGCGGGGCGCGCCAUUGGCGUGGACCUGCUCAACAACCCGGACCUGGUGGCGACCGAUGCCACGGUGUCGUUCGAGACGGCGUUGUGGUUCUGGAUGACGCCGCAAGCGAACAAGCCGUCAUCCCACACCGUGAUCACGGGCCAGUGGACGCCAACGGCUGCCGACAACGCGGCGGGAAGGGUGCCUGGCUAUGGCGUCAUCACCAACAUCAUCAACGGCGGGCUCGAGUGCGGCAGGGGGCAGGACAGCCGUGUUGCCGACCGGAUCGGGUUCUACCAGCGCUACUGCAACAUCCUUGGCGUCGGCUACGGGAGCAACCUCGACUGCUACAACCAGAGGCCCUUCGUUGAAGGGCUUUUGAUCCAGCAAGUAACGCAGUAA